UACGUAGGGUGCAAGCGUUGUCCGGAAUUAUUGGGCGUAAAGAGCUCGUAGGCGGUUUGUCGCGUCUGCUGUGAAAACUCGGGGCUUAACUCCGGGCCUGCAGUGGGUACGGGCAGACUAGAGUGCGGUAGGGGAGACUGGAAUUCCUGGUGUGGCGGUGAAAUGCGCAGAUAUCAGGAGGAACACCGGUGGCGAAGGCGGGUCUCUGGGCCAUUACUGACGCUGAGGAGCGAAAGCGUGGGGAGCGAACAGG
rnacentral:rRNA from 1 species